GCUUCCGAGCGACUCCGUGGUGGAGUUGUCGACCGGAGCCAGUGGUGCGGGCGUCCAGGUAUUCUACAUUGGUUGCGAGCGUCCCGAGGAGGAUGCUCCUACCUCGGGUGCGAGGGCCGCGGAGCCCGGGGUUCUUGAGGGCGAGCCCCCGACUCAAGCGAGGGAUGGAGUGCUUCCGUCGAUCGCGGAUGGAGCGAGAGACCAUUUCGUGACACUGGAACUGGUGAUUGGUUUGGUCGAGGCCGUGGGCACCCUUCCUGCCCUUAAGACUUAGGUGGAGGCGCUUUCCGCUGCUAUGGACGUGGAGAUGUCCAAGUCUACCCUUGCUUUGAGUGAGCUGGAGUCGGAGAGGGUGCGGCGCGAGGCCGUGGAGGCCGAGCUUUCCCGCGUUUUGGCGGAGCUCGCGGCCGCGGAGACCAGGGCUCGACUUGCUGAGGAGCACCAGAGGGACGAGAU